rnacentral:rRNA from 1 species
CGGACGGGUGAGUAAUGUCUGGGAAACUGCCCGAUGGAGGGGGAUAACUACUGGAAACGGUAGCUAAUACCGCAUAACGUCGCAAGACCAAGAGGGGACCUUCGGGCCUCUUGCCAUCGGAUGUGCCCAGAUGGGAUUAGCUAGUAGGUGGGGUAACGGCUCACCUAGGCGACGAUCCCUAGCUGGUCUGAGAGGAUGACCAGCCACACUGGAACUGAGACACGGUCCACG